CUGAUAUCUCUAGAGGUUGAAGUCUGCUGUUGUCAAAUCAGAGCAAAAGAAACAGAAGAGUCUUCCCAUGGCAACUUGCCUUGAAGUUGUCUUCAAGUGACCACCUCCAGGGGUGAAAGAGCAUUUCAACUUCUGCGGCUCAUUCACUCCCAUGGCUCU
rnacentral:sRNA from 1 species